rnacentral:misc_RNA from 1 species
GAUGAAGAACGUAGCGAAAUGCGAUAAGUAAUGUGAAUUGCAGAAUUCAGUGAAUCAUCGAAUCUUUGAACGCACAUUGCGCCCGCCAGCACUCUGGCGGGCAUGCCUGUUCGAGCGUCAUUUCAACCAUCAAGCCCCCAGGGGCUUGUGCUGGGACCCUGCGGCUGCCCGCAGGCCCUGAAAACCAGUGGCGGGCUCGCUAGUCACACCGAGCGCAGUAGCACAUCUCGCUCAGGGCGUGCGGCGGGCUCCUGCCGUGAAACCCCCCACUGUAACCCCAAAGGUUGACCUCGGAUCAGGUAGGAAUACCCGCUGAACUUAAGCAUAUCAAUAAGCGGAGGA